UACGGAGGGUGCAAGCGUUGUCCGGAUUUAUUGGGUUUAAAGGGUGCGUAGGCGGCUUUUUAAGUCAGUGGUGAAAGACAACAGCUCAACUGUUGCAGUGCCAUUGAUACUGAAGAGCUUGAGUACAGAUGAGGUAGGCGGAAUUUAUGGUGUAGCGGUGAAAUGCAUAGAUACCAUAAAGAACACCUAUUGCGAAGGCAGCUUACUAGCUGUAACUGACGCUGAGGCACGAAAGUGUGGGGAUCAAACAGGG
rnacentral:rRNA from 1 species